rnacentral:rRNA from 1 species
UACGUAGGGGGCGAGCGUUGUCCGGAUUUACUGGGCGUAAAGCGUCCGCAGGCGGCCCGCUAAGUCUGGUGUGAAAGCCCCCCGCUCAACGGGGGGAGGUCAUCGGAGACUGACGGGCUGGAGGAUGGCAGAGGGGGACGGAAUUCCCGGAGUAGUGGUGAUAUGCGUAGAGACCGGGAGGAACACCGGCGGCGAAGGCGGUCCCCUGGGCCACUCCUGACGCUCAUGGACGAAAGCGUGGGGAGCGAACCGG